GGAAGCUGCUGCUGCUGCAAGUUCAGUUCAGCUGAGCGUGGGGAAGACCAGUGACGUGGAUAUCGCAAAGCAACGCAGUGACAAGACUGAUCCUUCUGAGAUGAUUAUCCUGGAUGAAAUGUCACAAACGCCCGUAUGGAAGGCUCUCACUUUGAAGACAGAAACCCUUUGAAUCCAGGGAGGAAAAAGGAAUCUUGACUUUGAAGGAGAGGAGUGAGAGCGUGACUCGGGGAUGUGCCAACGCAGACAGAGGGAGAAAGCGCUUUGUUUCAGUUGGAGGAUUCCCAUUAAAGCCAUGCAGAUGUUUUCAGUUA